AUUGAACGCUGGCGGCAGGCCUAACACAUGCAAGUCGAGCGAGCGGCGGACGGGUGAGUAAUGUAUGGGGACUGCGCGAUAGAGGGGGAUAACUACUGGAAACGGUAGCUAAAACAGCAUACUAUCGGAUAACCCCGAUGGGCUUAUCUUGUAGUUGGGGUAAUGGCUCACCUAGGCGACGAUCCCUAGCUGGUCUGAGAGGAUGAUCACCCACACUGGAACUGAGACACGGCCCAGACUCCUACGGAGGCAGCAGUGGGGAAUAUUGCACAAUGGGGGAAACCCUGAUCCAGCCAUCCCGCGUGUAUGAUGAAGGCCUUCGGGUUGUAAAGUACUUUUGGCAGGGAAGCGGUAUCUGAAGAAUAAGCACCGGCUAACUACGUGCCAGCAGCCGCGGUAAUAC
rnacentral:rRNA from 1 species